rnacentral:rRNA from 1 species
GGUCCGGAUGCGGAACACGUGUGCAACCUGCCUUUAUCAGGGGGAUAGCCUUUCGAAAGGAAGAUUAAUACCCCAUAAUAUAUUAACUGGCAUCAGUNNAUAUUGAAAACUACGGUGGAUAGAGAUGGGCACGCGCAAGAUUAGCUAGUUGGUGAGGUAACGGCUCACAAAGGCGACGAUCUUUAGGGGGCCUGAGAGGGUGAUCCCCCACACUGGUAGUGAGACACGGACCAGACUCCUACGGGAGGCAGCAGUGAGGAAUAUUGGACAAUGGGUGGAAGCCUGAUCCAGCCAUCCCGCGUGCAGGAAGACGGCCCUAUGGGUUGUAAACUGCUUUUAUCUGGGGAUAAACCUACUUACGUGUAAGUAGCUGAAGGUACCAGAAGAAUAAGCACCGGCUAACUCCGUGCCAGCAGCCGCGGUAAUACGGAGGGUGCAAGCGUUAUCCGGAUUUAUUGGGUUUAAAGGGUCCGUAGGCGGACUAGUAAGUCAGUGGUGAAAUCCAAU